AUCCCUCCUGCGUCGGGGUUAUGACGCAGAGUUCCUCCCUGUUGGACUGUCCGGGCAUAACUUGCCCGGACUUUUUU
rnacentral:ncRNA from 1 species